GACGAACGCUGGCGGCGCGCUUAACACAUGCAAGUCGAACGGAAAGGCCUGCUUUCCCUUGUGGAUUGCGGGUACUCGAGUGACGAACGGGUGAGUAACACGUGAGUGAUCUGCCCCCAACUUGGGUAUAAGCCUGGGAAACUGGGUCUAAUUCCCGAUAGGACUGCAGGGUGGUGCCUGUGGUGGAAAACGAUUUUCUAGUGGUUGGGGAUGAGCUCGCGGCCUAUCAGCUUGUUGGUGGGGUAAUGGCCUACCAAGGCGGCGACGGGUAGCCGGCCUGAGAGGGUGGACGGCCACAUUGGGACUGAGAUACGGCCCAGACUCCUACGGGAGGCAGCAGUGGGGAAUAUGGCACAAUGGGCGGAAGCCUGAUGCAGCGACGCCGCGUGGGGGAUGACGGCCUUCGGGUUGUAAACUCCUUUCGACCGCGAGGAAGCCACCUGGUUGGAAGGGUGGUGACGGUAGUGGUAGAAGAAGCACCGGCUAACUACGUG
rnacentral:rRNA from 1 species